UGGGAAUGCAUGGAUGUGGUGCGGAAUCUGAUCCCAUAGCCAAUGCCGAGGUUGACCCCAUGGGAGGAGUUUUUGAAGGUGGAGUUGGUAUUGGUAACAAAACUGCUCUACGGAGAUCACCAAUCGAUGAGGUUCAAAAUAAGCUUAGGCAGGAGUAUGAUUUCCUAGAGGAAAAGAGAAGAGAGUUAGAAUUUCUUGCGCAAGGUGGUGAUCCACUGGAUUUCAAAUUUGGGAAUGCUACUUCACUUAGUGUUCAGUCCACUUCUCUGACAGAUCAACAUCCAGAUCAGUUUGUGACCA
rnacentral:misc_RNA from 1 species